GACGAACGCUGGCGGCGUGCUUAACACAUGCAAGUCGAACGAUGAACCGGUUUCGGCCGGGGAUUAGUGGCGAACGGGUGAGUAACACGUGGGCAAUCUGCCCUGCACUCUGGGAUAAGCCCGGGAAACUGGGUCUAAUACCGGAUACGACACCCCGAGGCAUCUUGGGGUGUGGAAAGUUCCGGCGGUGCAGGAUGAGCCCGCGGCCUAUCAGCUUGUUGGUGGGGUAAUGGCCUACCAAGGCGACGACGGGUAGCCGGCCUGAGAGGGUGACCGGCCACACUGGGACUGAGACACGGCCCAGACUCCUACGGGAGGCAGCAGUGGGGAAUAUUGCACAAUGGGCGGAAGCCUGAUGCAGCGACGCCGCGUGAGGGAUGACGGCCUUCGGGUUGUAAACCUCUUUCAGCAGGGAAGAAGCGAGAGUGACGGUACCUGCAGAAGAAGCACCGGCUAACUACGUG
rnacentral:rRNA from 1 species